UAUGCGAUCAGCAAAGCGGGAUGUCAUAUUCAGUGCCAUGCAUACCAGACAAAACCUUGGUGGUUAAAUUUAGUUCUAUGCCAUGCUAAGAAUGGUGUGCCAUCACUAGGAAUAUGGGAACCCUAGGCGUGCAAAUGUUUUAGGGACUCUUUGGGAGCAGGUAGGACAAAGAAUAAAAUUAUGGGUCGCCAAGCCUUCUAGGGUUUGUUUCAAGAACCAUGGAAGACUCUAACUUUGUAUGAAAUUUUCUCCAUGGUAGGAGUACUUAAGAUCUGUUGGCAUAAAUGCUUUUGUUUCUAAUGAAUUAUAUUAGAAGAACUCCGAUCAAAUGAAGUCCAAUUAAGCA